AUAAACUAGCCAAUAGGGGGUACACUUAGAUAAUUUGUUGUGUGUUAUGUUUGGUAAAGUUGAGGAAUCCGCUAGCUAGUCACCUCUUCCUAACAUGUGAAGUGACUUCAGUAGUGUGGAACUUAUGCUAUAGGUGGAUUGUGGAAAACAUGAUUCAAUAUAACAACGUAAAAAAUCACUUAAGUCAAUUCAGGUUAAUCAAAUUAUUAGAAUCCGAGAAUAA
rnacentral:lncRNA from 1 species